CAGCAUGGCUUGAUAAGCGGUGCCAUCUCCAUGCCCAGGAUCUGAACCUGUGAACCCUGGGCGGCUGAAGUGGAGAGCACGAACUCAACCACACUGCUACUAGGCCGGCCCCAAGGAAG